UACGUAGGUGGCAAGCGUUGUCCGGAUUUAUUGGGCGUAAAGCGAGCGCAGGCGGUUCUUUAAGUCUGAUGUGAAAGCCCUCGGCUCAACCGAGGAAGGUCAUUGGAAACUGGGGAACUUGAGUGCAGAAGAGGAGAGUGGAACUCCAUGUGUAGCGGUGAAAUGCGUAGAUAUAUGGAGGAACACCAGUGGCGAAGGCGACUCUCUGGUCUGUAACUGACGCUGAGGCUCGAAAGCGUGGGGAGCAAACAGG
rnacentral:rRNA from 1 species